rnacentral:rRNA from 1 species
AACGCUAGCUACAGGCUUAACACAUGCAAGUCGAGGGGCAGCAUGGUCUUAGCUUGCUAAGGCCGAUGGCGACCGGCGCACGGGUGAGUAACACGUAUCCAACCUGCCGUCUACUCUUGGACAGCCUUCUGAAAGGAAGAUUAAUACAAGAUGGCAUCAUGAGUUCACAUGUUCACAUGAUUAAAGGUAUUCCGGUAGACGAUGGGGAUGCGUUCCAUUAGAUAGUAGGCGGGGUAACGGCCCACCUAGUCUUCGAUGGAUAGGGGUUCUGAGAGGAAGGUCCCCCACAUUGGAACUGAGACACGGUCCAAACUCCUACGGGAGGCAGCAGUGAGGAAUAUUGGUCAAUGGGCGCAGGCCUGAACCAGCCAAGUAGCGUGAAGGAUGACUGCCCUAUGGGUUGUAAACUUCUUUUAUAAAGGAAUAAAGUCGGGUAUGCAUACCCGUUUGCAUGUACUUUAUGAAUAAGGAUCGGCUAACUCCGUGCCAGCAGCCGCGGUAAUACGGAGGAUCCGAGCGUUAUCCGGAUUUAUUGGGUUUAAAGGGAGCGUAGAUGGAUGUUUAAGUCAGUUGUGAAAGUUUGCGGCUCAACCGUAAAAUUGCAGUUGAUACUGGAUAUCUUGAGUGCAGUUGAGGCAGGCGGAAUUCGUGGUGUAGCGGUGAAAUGCUUAGAUAUCACGAAGAACUCCGAUUG